UACGUAGGGGGCUAGCGUUGUCCGGAUUUAUUGGGCGUAAAGAGCGUGUAGGCGGCCAGGUAGGUCUGCUGUGAAAACUCGAGGCUCAACCUCGAGAUGUCGGCGGAAACCAUCUGGCUAGAGUCCGGAAGAGGAGAGUGGAAUUCCUGGUGUAGCGGUGAAAGUGCGCAGAUAUCAGGAAGAACACCCGUGGCGAAGGCGGCUCUCUGGGACGGUACUGACGCUGAGACGCGAAAGCGUGGGGAGCGAACAGG
rnacentral:rRNA from 1 species